rnacentral:rRNA from 1 species
GACGAACGCUGGCGGCGUGCUUAACACAUGCAAGUCGAACGGAAAGGCCCUGCUUUUGUGGGGUGCUCGAGUGGCGAACGGGUGAGUAACACGUGAGUAACCUGCCCUUGACUUUGGGAUAACUUCAGGAAACUGGGGCUAAUACCGGAUAGGAGCUCCUGCUGCAUGGUGGGGGUUGGAAAGUUUCGGCGGUUGGGGAUGGACUCGCGGCUUAUCAGCUUGUUGGUGGGGUAGUGGCUUACCAAGGCUUUGACGGGUAGCCGGCCUGAGAGGGUGACCGGCCACAUUGGGACUGAGAUACGGACCAGACUCCUACGGGAGGCAGCAGUGGGGAAUAUUGCACAAUGGGCGGAAGCCUGAUGCAGCAACGCCGCGUGCGGGAUGACGGCCUUCGGGUUGUAAACCGCUGUCGCCUGUGACGAAGCGUGAGUGACGGUAAUGGGUAAAGAAGCACCGGCUAACUACGUG